AUGAGGAUCAAGCUGAAAAGACGACUGUGCUACAAAGGCCAUCAGCUGUUCCAGACUGUCACCUGGUCUAAACUGAUCCAAGCCCUGCGUAAACUCAAACAGAUUCAUCCACAGUACACAGAUAUUGUUAUCAGAGAUGAUGCAUUGCUUUGUGAUCCCACGUUACCUGAUGAUGACAGCAGUGAUGAAGCCAGCAUGGCAAGUGAUGAUUAUGAUGAAGCAGAUUUAAUGGAAAUUGACAACUAUGAAAAAGAUGCCCUUUUGUGUGAAAGUGAGUCUGAAAGUGAACAAGCUAUUAAUAUGCAAUCCUGUGAUGAACAACCAGAGGAACAAAAUCCAGAGGAACCAGAAAGUGAUUUGAACAAUGGAGGUUUUGCUCUAGAAAGUUGUCUGCAGCCUGUAGACAUUUCAGAAGAGAUUCUCUGUUUCACUGAUAACACAUAUUGUGUGGCUCCUGCAGAAAGAAACAGUCCUGUUAGCUUCUUCAGAACUCCUCAUUUGGAAGCCAUGGCAUUUCCUGUGCAGUUUCCUACUGGUCAGAAUACACUGGAUGAAAAGAGACGUCUCAAGCUCACACCAAGUGCUUACUUCAAGUCAAGGCUUUUCAACAUUGAUGCAAGAUUUGCUAAAGAUACAAAUUACCUGUUUUUCUCACAGUUCGUUACUGAAAUACAUUUGGCUAAUUCCAGCAUGACAAUACAGCUAAGGAAAGGUAAAACUAUGACGAAAGAUGGACGCAAAAUCACAUCAGGAAUGUUACAAAGUAAGACAGAAGUAGAGAAGCUGGUAAGAAAUAAAGAUGCAAUCAGAUUUAUGCAGCCACUCAGAGGAACUCCAGCUUACUGGCAGAAAACUACCAGAGAUCUAUUCAGUAUGGUUCGCCAAAUAGGAACACCUCAGUUCUUUGUCACUUUCUCUGCUGCUGAGAUGAGAUGGCCUGAAGUGAUUCAAGCAAUAAAGAGACAGCAAGGUGAAGAGGUUGAUUUUGAAGCCCUGGACUGGUCAGAAAAGUGUGAAAUUCUACGAUCAAAUCCAGUAACCACCAUGCGAAUGUUUGAUAAGCGUGUUGAGGCUUUGUUCAGAGAUUUGCUGUUUUCUCCUGCACAGCCCCUUGGUGAAAUCAUUGAUUACUUUUACAGAGUUGAGUUCCAGCACAGAGGUAGUCCACAUAUACACAUGUUGCUGUGGAUUCGAGAAAAGGUAGAAGUAGAUGUGGAUGAUGACCAAACUGUCUGUGACUUUGUGGACAGAUACAUCUCAGCUCAGCUCCCUGAUCCAGAAAAACAACCUGAACUGCACAAAAAAGUCACUGAGCUACAAAAGCACAGCAAAAACCACACAAAGACAUGCUUUAAGAGUGUGAACUCUGGUUGUAGAUUUGGCUUUCCAAAACCACCAUCCACAAGAACAAUGAUUGUGAGACAGGAUGAGGAUUCAGACACUGAAGCUGCAAAAGCCAAACUCAGACCUUUGUUGAACCUGCUGAAGGAACCUGAAGCUGCUUCCCUCACCAUAGAGCAGAUUCUGUCACGAUGCAACUUGACAAUGAAUGAGUAUGAACAAUGCCUCCAAGACAUAAACAAGAAAACAGCUCUUAUUCUGAAACGUGACCCAAAGGACUGUUGGAUCAACAAUUACAACCCAGACCUGCUUGAAGCCUGGAACUCUAAUUUAGAUGUCUCGUUAAUAUUGAAUGCCUAUUCAUGUAUAGAAUACCUCUGUAAAUAUAUAACGAAGAGAGAAUCUGGCCUCUCUGAAUACCUGAAGACAGUUAUUGAUAACUCUGAUAAGAACACCGUCAAUGAAUGUGAUGAAAUGAGAGCUGUGAUGCAGGCUUACUCAAAAAGAGAGAAAUCAGUGCACAGGAGUGUGUGA
ensembl:lncRNA